CUGUUUUGUGUAAAUUUUACAUAAGUAUUUCCUUAUAGAGACUUUUGGGAUGAAAUUGGUAGUGUGACACAGCAGUUUCCCUCCUUGUCUCCUUGGUAUUUUGCAAAGCAGCACGCAAGCAGAUACAUAAUCUGGGAAUGAAAGGAUAAAGAGAAGCGGGACAUGCAGAUGUACGGAGUGAGUGAGAUGACAGAAUGAUACAGAACCCGCCUCUCUCACACUCUACGUGACAUGCAGGUGUAGCGAGUGAGAUGACAGAAUGAUACAGAACCCGCCUCUCUCACACUCUACGUGACAUGCAGGUGUAGGGAGAGUGAGAUGACAGAAUGAUACAGAACCCACCUCUCUCACACUCCGUGACAUGCAGGUGUAGGGAGUGAGAUGACAGAAUGAUACAGAACCCACCUCUCACACACUCCGUGACAUGCAGGUGUAGGAAUGAGUGAGAUGACAGAAUGAUACAGAACCCACCUCUCUCACACUCUCCUUGACAUGCAGGUGUAGGGAGUGAGAUGACAGAAUGAUACAGAACCCACCUCUCACACACUCCGUGACAUGCAGGUGUAGGGAGUGAGAUGACAGAAUGAUACAGAACCCGCCUCUCUCACACUCCGUGACAUGCAGGUGUAGGGAGAGUGAGAUGACAGAAUGAUACAGAACCCACCUCUCUCACACUCUACGUGACAUGCAGGUGUACGGAGUGAGAUGACAGAAUGAUACAGAACCUGCCUCUCUCACACACUCUCCGUGACAUGCAGGUGUAGCGAGUGAGAUGACAGAAUGAUACAGAACCCGCCUCUCACACACUCUCUGUGACAUGCAGGUGUAGGGAGUGAGAUGACAGAAUGAUACAGAACCCACCUCU